AGUGGCGGACUGGUGAGUAACACGUAAGAAAUCUGCCUAUCAGAGGGGAAUAACAGUGAGAAAUCACUGCUAAUACCGCAUAUGCCAUAAGGUUCGCAUGAACCUAGUGGGAAAGAAGCAAUCCGCUGAUAGAUGAGCUUGCGUCUGAUUAGCUAGUUGGUGGGGUAAAGGCCUACCAAGGCGACGAUCAGUAGCCGGACUGAGAGGUUGAACGGCCACAUUGGGACUGAGAUACGGCCCAGACUCCUACGGGAGGCAGCAGUCGGGAAUAUUGCGCAAUGGAGGAAACUCUGACGCAGUGACGCCGCGUAUAGGAAGAAGGUUUUCGGAUUGUAAACUAUUGUCGUUAGGGAAGAAAAAAGACUGUACCUGUGAAGAAAGCUCCGGCUAACUACGUGCCAGCAGCCGCGGUAAUACGUAGGGAGCAAGCGUUAUCCGGAAUUAUUGGGUGUAAAGGGUGCGUAGACGGGAUAACAAGUUAGUUGUGAAAUACCUCGGCUCAACUGGGGAACUGCAACUAAAACUAUUAUUCUUGAGUGCAGGAGAGGAAAGUGGAAUUCCUAGUGUAGCGGUGAAAUGCGUAGAUAUUAGGAAGAACACCGGUGGCGAAGGCGACUUUCUGGACUGUAACUGACGUUGAGGCACGAAAGUGUGGGGAGCAAACAGGAUUAGAUACCCUGGUA
rnacentral:rRNA from 1 species